rnacentral:rRNA from 1 species
UAGGGAAUCUUCGGCAAUGGACGGAAGUCUGACCGAGCAACGCCGCGUGAGUGAAGAAGGUUUUCGGAUCGUAAAGCUCUGUUGUAAGAGAAGAACGAGUGUGAGAGUGGAAAGUUCACACUGUGACGGUAUCUUACCAGAAAGGGACGGCUAACUACGUGCCAGCAGCCGCGGUAAUACGGUAGGUCCCGAGCGUUGUCCGGAUUUAUUGGGCGUAAAGCGAGCGCAGGCGGUUAGAUAAGUCUGAAGUUAAAGGCUGUGGCUUAACCAUAGUAGGCUUUGGAAACUGUUUAACUUGAGUGCAAGAGGGGAGAGUGGAAUUCCAUGUGUAGGUGAAAUGCGUAGAUAUAUGGAGGAACACCGGUGGCGAAAGCGGCUCUCUGGCUUGUAACUGACGCUGAGGCUCGAAAGCGUGGGGAGCAAACAGGAUUAGAUACCCUGGUAGUCCACGCUGUAAACGAUGAGUGCUAGGUGUUAGACCCUUUCCGGGGUUUAGUGCCGUAGCUAACGCAUUAAGCACUCCGCCUGGGGAGUACGACCGCAAGGUU